rnacentral:ncRNA from 1 species
CCGGCUCCGGUUCACGCCGUUCACUCCGAACGGCGACCCGGCGGCC